CAUCUGUGGAGGUUUACACGUUGGAGAUUACAGCUUAUACCCAUUUCACACUGCCUAUCGAAGUCACCCAAUUAAGUCGGGGCCAACCACAUCUUUAAUCAAAGAUGAGGUUGUGAAAACGAUAACAUUUUAGCACAAUACUACCGUAUUUCGACUGUGACCUUCAAAACCUUUUUUGUUUAACAAGCUCAAGAAUUGUAGGGUCAGAUUGGUAAACUUUGCCUCAUCCAUGAAGGAAAGUCUGGCUGGUUCCGAAUUAAUCCGAUAAAUCUGAUUGUCUGUGUGGACUGGGUAUAAGUCGUUGUCUGGUUGGUGUCUUACAAGAGUUGCCUUAUUUCUCUCCGAGUUGUAGCGUAAACUUGAUUGGAUAUCUUGAGGUCUGAAGUCUGAGAUCUGGAGCAACUGAAAGCAGAAAGACAAUCAUUUAAAGAGCACAAAGGAAGGGAAAGGGAAAAAAAGAUAACAAAAAAAAGCUCAAGUAUACAUGGAAACGAGAACUGAAGAAAGACUAAGAAUAUUCAAAAAUUAGAUAAUAUACAAGUAUAAUAAUUUUUUUAAAAACGAAGAAAAAAAUCAAGCAGCAAUAAAAGGAAAAAUCAAAGGACAAUAAUUAAAAGCUUAGUUUAUAAUAAAAGCAACAUUGUACGUCUUUUUUAAACAAAAAAACACACAAACCCCCCCCCCCCCAAAAAACCCAAACAAAACCCCGACACAUUAAAAAAAUAUAAUAUUUAAGUCUCCUUAAGAGAAGAGAAUACUAAGUUUUGUCAAAAUUAAGCCGGAAAAUCUCGUUUUGUUAGCUCAGGCAGGACUUAACUUUUUUGAAAAGGAGUUAUUGUUUCAUUGCUUUCAACAACAAUGUCUGUGAUCUGCUCUUUGAGCUUUUGGAUGACGUCAGCACUUUGUGUUUUGGUCUGCGUUUCGGUGGUAGUCCCGGCUCCUUCAGAACGGUCGCACAAACACAUUCAAAAGGGAGGACAUGGAAGCGGGAAAAAGUUCAGUCAUCUGAAAUCUCAGGGGAUCUUUGGGAAUCUGGACUCUUCCAAUGGUGAUCGUAAGUUGAAUGGGUGAAUGGAUGGAUGUAUGUAUGCAUGGAUGGAUGGAUGGAUGGGUGGAUGUGUGGAUGGAAGGACAUAUGUAGGA